CAGCCGCCGCGGUAAUUCCGGCGGCCCGAGUGGCGGUCACUCUUAUUGGGCUUAAAGCGUCCGUAGCCGGGUUGGGAAGUCCUCCGGGAAAUCUGGCCGCUUAACGGUCAGAAUGCCGGAGGAUACUCCCAGCCUAGGGAGCGGGAGAGGCCGAGGGUAUUCCCGGAGUAGGGGUGAAAUCCUAUAAUCCCGGGAGGACCACCUGUGGCGAAGGCGCUCGGCUGGAACGCGUCCGACGGUGAGGGACGAAGGCCAGGGGAGCAAACCGGAUUAGAUACCCGGGUAGUCCUGGCUGUAAACGAUGCGGACUUUGUGUCGGACAAGCUAUGAGCUUGUCCGGUGCCGGAGGGAAACCGUUAAGUCCGCCGCCUGGGGAGUACGGCCGCAAGGCUGAAACUUAAAGGAAUUGGCGGG
rnacentral:rRNA from 1 species